UAAUUGUUCUAUAAGGUAUUGGCUAAAUUACUACCAUGUUCCUUCAAUCCUCAACAUUUUUCUAGAUUAUAUAAUUCAUUCUUAAAUUGAACGUUCAGACUAGAAAAUUUCUCCAGAACUUAUUUACUAUUGAUUUUAGUUCUAUUUAUUUGUGCCAUAUUGAAGUUUAUAUGUUGUUUAAUUUUUUUUAAUUUUUUUGUUUCAUAAAAAAGUAUAAAAAUUUACAUGGUUCAGGCUUCAAAUAUCUUUGAAUUUAAUUUAUUCUUUUGCAUCAUAAAAUGAGUUCAUACAAAGCACAUAGGGAGA
rnacentral:lncRNA from 1 species